rnacentral:rRNA from 1 species
UUUCGUGCCAGCCACCGCGGUGAUACGAUUAACCCAAGUUAAUAGAAGAACGGCGUAAAGUGUGUUUAAGCAUCUAGACAUAAAAAUAAAGUUAAAAAUCAAUUGAGCUGUAAUACGCCAAGGUUGAUAUUAAAAUACACAACUUACGUGACUUUACUUGUCGCUGAAGACACUAAAGCUAAGGUACAAACUGGGAUUAGAGACCCCACUAUGCUUAGCCGUAAACCGAGGUAGUUAAAUAACAAAACUAUUCGCCAGAGAACUACAAGCAACUGCUUAAAACUCAAAGGACUUGGCGGUGCCCUAGACCC